rnacentral:rRNA from 1 species
GAUGAACGCUGGCGGCGUGCUUAACACAUGCAAGUCGAACGGUGAGGCCCAGCUUGUUUGGUGGAUUAGUGUCGCACAGGUGAGUAACACGUGAGUGACCCCCCCUUUACUCUGGGAUAAGCCUGGAACACAGUGUCGAAUACCCGAUAGUAGCGUCCUCCGCAUGUGGUGUUUUGGAGAGAUUUACCGGGUUUGGAUGGACUCGCGGCUUAUCAGCUUUUUGUUGUGGUAAUGGCGUACCAAGGCGAAGUCGGGUAGCCGGCCUGAGAGGGUGACCGGCCACAAUGGGACUGAGAAACGGCCCAGACUCCUACGGGAGGCAGCAGUGGGGAAUAUUACGCAAUGGGCGCAAGCCUGAUGCAGCGACGGCGCGAGAGGGAUGACGGCCUUCGGGUUGUAAACCGCUUUCAGUAGGGAAGAAGCGACAGUGACGGUACCUGAACAAGAAGCACCGGCUAACUACGUG